CCCUCUCCUGCAAUCUUCCAAUUACCACUUUGAACAAUCCUCAAAGUGCACCAGACUCCACGAGUCUAUCCCCUGAAAUCACAACAGGUCCAAUACAACAACUCCACGAAUGCCAAACAGAAUCUUGAUCAAACCAAAAACACCUUCAAUGUGCAGAAUGUGAUCAAGCAAUGUGUGCGCAGUCAGUCUCCCUUUGAAUCUCUUUCAAGAAAGAUCAC
rnacentral:lncRNA from 1 species